rnacentral:rRNA from 1 species
GACGAACGCUGGCGGCGUGCUUAACACAUGCAAGUCGGACGGAAAGGCCUUUUCGGAGGUACUCGAGUGGCGAACGGGUGAGUAACACGUGGGUGAUCUGCCCUGCACUCUGGGAUAAGCCUGGGAAACUGGGUCUAAUACCGGAUAGGACCGCACUUUAGUGUGUGUGGUGGAAAGUUUUUUCGGUGUAGGAUGAGCCCGCGGCCUAUCAGCUUGUUGGUGGGGUAAUGGCCUACCAAGGCGGCGACGGGUAGCCGGACUGAGAGGUUGGUCGGCCACAUUGGGACUGAGAUACGGCCCAGACUCCUACGGGAGGCAGCAGUGGGGAAUAUUGCACAAUGGGCGCAAGCCUGAUGCAGCGACGCCGCGUGGGGGAUGACGGCCUUCGGGUUGUAAACUCCUUUCGCCAGGGACGAAGCGUUUUGUGACGGUACCUGGAGAAGAAGCACCGGCUAACUACGUG